GUAACGCGUAGAUCACGUACCCUGGGGAUCGGGAUAGCGGGGGGAAACCGCCGGUAAUACCGAAUAAUGUCUUCGGACCAAAAAUUUAUUGCCCUGGGAGCGGUCUGCGUCCUAUUAGUUAGUUGGUGGGGUAAAAGCCUGCCAAGGCAAAGAUGGGUAGCGGGUGUGAGAGCAUGGCCCGUCUCACUGGGACUGAGACACUGCCCAGACACCUACGGGUGGCUGCAGUCGAGAAUCUUCCGCAAUGGACGAAAGUCUGACGGAGCGACCCCGCGUGCUGGAUGAAGGCCCUCGGGUUGUAAACAGCUGUCUUAUGGGAGGAAAUUUUGACCGAUCCUAGGAGGAAGCACAGGCUAAGUUCGUGCCAGCAGCCGCGGUAAUACGAACUGUGCAAACGUUAUUCGGAAUCACUGGGCUUAAAGGGUGCGUACGCGGGUUGGUAGGUCAGAUGUGAAAGCCCACGGCUCAACCGUGGAAUUGCGUUUGAAACCACUAGUCUUGAGGGGAUCAGAGGAGAGCGGAACUGAUGGUGGAGCGGUGAAAUGCGUUGAUAUUAUCAGGAACACCGGUGGCGAAAGCGGC
rnacentral:rRNA from 1 species